GUGAAGAUAAGAAUCCAUGGCUACUCAUAUGACAAAAAUAGCUUGGAAUUCCUGGUGGGUUUGGUUAGCAAGCUGCUUUUUCUUCUAAAAAUAGAAGAGGGCGUGUAUAAUGUGAGGGGAGCCUUAAACCAUGGCUUUGCUUUGCCACUUGCCAUGUAAAGUUUCAUAGUGUUAAUCCAGAUAAUUAUUAAGGGCCAUUUGAUUUUAACUUUUAAAAGGGGUUGGCAAUAAUUAUGGGUGUUUUAUAUUCAGAUCUUUUUAUUUUAUAUAGAAAAAAAUGAAAGUUCUUCAAAAUCCUAGCUAAAAUAUUUCAUAUUGCCCAAGUUGGUAGCUAGUAAUGGAGCAUAUACCUAUGCCCAAUUAUGUGUUAAUUUGUUUGGAAUUAAUCUCUAGUUGCCUCCUUAAAAAUUGGGUAAAUUACAUCCAUGUAUCUAAACUUAAAGACAUAUAAAUAAAAGUAUCUUAAUUUUAAUUUAUAACAGAAAAUUAUUAUUUUUUUUUUCAAUGAAAGUAAUAUGAAAAUACUAUAAUAUGAUUUCCAUAUUAAGUGCUUACGUUGCAGAUUUCAUCUAUUCACUAUUUUUUUUUUCUUCUUUUUGACGAGACAGAUUUUAACUCUGUCUCGGUAGUGGAUUUUGCUCUCCCCCCUUCAAGCGGUGGUGUUUAUAAAUAAAAGUUAUGGUUUUUUUUUAUGGUAGAUGGUGCCUAAUGUUGAGAGCUUUUGUUGAUCUACUAUGAUUGAAAUUGCAUGUCUAACCUUGGGUUUUUUUACAAAUGGUUUUGGUUGCCUUGUGAACUCUAAGGAAUGGAGCUUCAUUAGAUAGGUCUCAGAAAGAGAGAUCUCGAUGGUAUAAGUGUUGGCUAUGUCCUUGGACAAUCGUCUCCCCCUUCCCCUCUAGGUAAAAGAGAUUGAGAAGGCUCAAAGGCUCGCUCUCACUUCCUUUCUUUUUUACUUCUUCCUUGUGCGUUUCUAUUGGUUGGGUCAUGAGCUUCCCCUAUUUGGUUGAGCCUUGUUGGGAAUUGAAAACUUGGGGUUCUGUUGAGCUAGAGCCUUGUAGAUCAAGCACUUUAGUCAUACAUGGCUCUAGUUUGGUGCUUCAGUUGUUUUUUCUUUUUCCUCGAUAAUAGAGGUUUGAUGAAGGAGAGGUUUGGUUCUGGGUGCUUUCUUUGACGGCACCACAACCUUUUCCAUUGGGUUCUGUUUUCAAAAUCAUCCUUUCGGUUCAGCUAGGGUUUCUCUUAUGGGUUAUGUUUUGUGGGUUGAUAUUAGGUUUGGCUUAUACUUUUUAAUUUAAGGCCAUCAAUCUCUUUAGUUGUAGGCUUUAAGCUCUAUUUUAAUAUAAUCUGAUUAUGAUUGCGUGUAUCUUAUUUAUAUUGAAUCUCAAGGCCCUUUUUUUAUUAAUGAAAUUUACUAUAUUCG
rnacentral:misc_RNA from 1 species